UACGGAGGGUGCAAGCGUUGCUCGGAAUUACUGGGCGUAAAGUGUGCGCAGGUGGCUUCGCAAGUCGAGUGUGAAAUCCCCGGGCUUAACCUGGGAAUUGCGCUCGAAACUACGGAGCUGGAGUAUGGCAGAGGGAGGUGGAAUUCCACGUGUAGCGGUGAAAUGCGUAGAGAUGUGGAGGAACACCAAUGGCGAAGGCAGCCUCCUGGGCCAAUACUGACACUCAUGCACGAAAGCGUGGGGAGCAAACAGG
rnacentral:rRNA from 1 species